rnacentral:rRNA from 1 species
UACAGAGGUCUCAAGCGUUGUUCGGAUUCAUUGGGCGUAAAGGGUGCGUAGGCGGCGCGCUAAGUCGGGUGUGAAAUUUCGGAGCUUAACUCCGAAAUUGCACUGGAUACUGCUCUGCUAGAGGGCUGGAGAGGAGAUCGGAAUUCACGGUGUAGCAGUGAAAUGCGUAGAUAUCGUGAGGAAGACCAGUGGCGAAGGCGGAUCUCUGGACAGCUCCUGACGCUGAGGCGCGAAGGCUAGGGGAGCAAACGGG